GAGCUAAGUUAUGGGGUUUUUCUAGUUUUCUGGAGCUAAGUUAUGGGGUUUUUCUCAUUAUUCUGGAGCUAAGUUAUGGGGUUUUUCUCAUUAUUCUGGAGCUAAGUUAUGGGGUUUUUCUGGUUAUUCUGGAGUUAAGUUAUGGGGUUUUUCUAUUAUUCUGGAGCUAAGUUAUGGGGUUUUUCUAGUUAUUCUGGAGCUAAGUUAUGGGGUUUUUCUAUUAUUCUGGAGCUAAGUUAUGGGGUUUUUCUAGUUAUUCUGGAGCUAAGUUAUGGGGUUUUUCUAGUUUUCUGGAGCUAAGUUAUGGGGUUUUUCUAGUUAUUCUGGAGCUAAGUUAUGGGGUUUUUCUAGUUUUCUGGAGCUAAGUUAUGGGGUUUUUUCUAGUUAUUCUGGAGCUAAGUUAUGGGGUUUUUCUAUUAUUCUGGAGCUAAGUUAUGGGGUUUUUCUAGUUAUUCUGGAGCUAAGUUAUGGGGUUUUUCUAGUUUUCUGGAGCUAAGUUAUGGGGUUUUUCUAGUUAUUCUGGAGCUAAGUUAUGGGGUUUUUCUAUUAUUCUGGAGCUAAGUUAUGGGGUUUUUCUAGUUAUUCUGGAGCUAAGUUAUGGGGUUUUUCUAGUUUUCUGGAGCUAAGUUAUGGGGUUUUCUACUUAUUCUGGCUACGGCCCACAGUAUC